CAGCUACCCAGCAAUGGGAUGCGAAUCUCGAAAGCCUGUCUCAGUUCGGAUUGGAGGCUGAAACCCGCCUCCAUGAAGUUGGAUUCGCUAGUAAUCGCGCAUCAGCCAUGGCGCGGUGAAUACGUUCCCGGGCCUUGUACACACCGCCCGUCAAGCCAUGGGAGCCGGGGGGUGCCUGAAGUUCGUGACCGCAAGGAGCGACCUAGGGCAAAACUGGUGACUGGGGCUAAGUCGUAACAAGGUACC
rnacentral:rRNA from 1 species